rnacentral:lncRNA from 1 species
AGAUCUUUGAAGUUUGAUAAACUUUGUUCAGAUCGAAGAAAGCAAAACGUUUUAGUCACCCACGACUUAUAAACGUUGCUUUUUUUUAACAGUAAAAUCAAAUGAUUCCCGAGCAGAACGGCGGAGCUCCGGCGAAGACCACCGUCCUUUUUAAGAGCUCGGACUUAACUUUUCUAGGAAAGCCAAUUACUCUAACUUGAAAAGGACCUCGCUAGAUCUGGAUUAAGACAAUGGAGAGAGUGAAAAUGGAGGCGGUGGCUUUCACGGAGUUGGUUUCCAGCAAGAUGGCCACCAGUGACAAAAUGAGGAUUUUGGUGUCCAAGCUUCACAGAUCUCCGCCAAACUCUUCAGCUGCUAAGAGCGAGGGAUGAUGGGGAAGAAUCAGUGAGGCAGAGACUAUCCAGAUCUGUUGUUUUCAGGCCAAAAAAGAGCCGGCACGGAGGAGCCGUACACUCGGUCCGUACUGUCGCCAUUUAGACCAUCU